rnacentral:rRNA from 1 species
UACGUAGGGGGCUAGCGUUGUCCGGAAUCAUUGGGCGUAAAGAGCGUGUAGGCGGUCCGGUAAGUCCGCUGUGAAAGUCGGGGGGCUCAACCCUCGAAUGCCGGUGGAUACUGUCGGGCUAGAGUGCGGAAGAGGCGAGUGGAAUUCCUGGUGUAGCGGUGAAAUGCGCAGAUAUCAGGAGGAACACCUAUUGCGAAGGCAGCUCGCUGGGACGUAACUGACGCUGAGACGCGAAAGCGUGGGGAGCAAACAGG